GACGAAGGGGGCUAGCGUUGUUCGGAAUUACUGGGCGUAAAGCGCGCGCAGGCGGUUCUUCAAGUCAGAGGUGAAAGCCCAGAGCUCAACUCUGGAAUGGCCUUUGAGACUAGAGAACUAGGGUACGGGAGAGGUGAGUGGAAUUCCGAGUGUAGAGGUGAAAUUCGUAGAUAUUCGGAAGAACACCAGUGGCGAAGGCGGCUCACUGGCCCGUUACCGACGCUCAGGCGCGACAGCGUGGGGAGCAAACAGG
rnacentral:rRNA from 1 species